ACAGCCGCGGUAAUACGGAGGGUGCGAGCGUUAAUCGGAAUUACUGGGCGUAAAGACGCAUGCAGGUGGUUUGUUAAGUUCAGAUGUGAAAGACCCGGGGCGUCAACCUCCGGAAUAGCAUUUGUAAACUAGGCAGACUAGAGUACUGUAGAGGGGGGUAGGAAGUUUCUAGGUGUAGCGGUGAAAUAGCGUAGAGAUCUGAAGGAAUACCGGUGGCGAAGGCGGCCCCCUCGGACAGAUACUGACACUCAGAUGCGAAAGCGUGGGGAGCAAACAGGAUUAGAUACCCCUGGUAG
rnacentral:rRNA from 1 species